GCCCGUAUAGCUCAGUCGUAGAGCGUUUGUCUUGUAAACAAAAGGUCCCGUGUUCAAUCCACGGUGGGGGCA